rnacentral:lncRNA from 1 species
CCUCCCAUUAAGUUGGGUGAUAAUGAGUCCAAUGGUUUAGAUGAUCAUUGGAGGUGCCAUACAUCUGGUGCUCUUCUGGCUGUCGGAAUUAUCAUUCAUAAUAUGUUGUUUUAGUUGUGUCUUUCUGAUGAUGGUCAGGUUGGCCGAGCCACACUCGAGCUUGGUCACUCAUUUGUUAGAUACACUAAAUUCUAGCAAGUUAAUAGUUGGACCUAACCAGAACCUUCAAUGGAGGCACCACACGCCUGCUGAAGAGGUGUCUGGGAUAAAAUUGAAUACUAAAAAUUAUUUGAUGAAAUAAUCGGUUAAGAACCUACUCGUGGGUACACAA